GUUGCGGUAUUGGGGUUGGGUUUGGGUACGGGUUUGGAGUUGGUGGCGGGUUCAAUUUCGAUGACAUUGGAGAUAAAUUGACCUAUGGGAAGGAAUAGCUCUGGUUAAGAUUCCGUGUCGGGUACAGAUUCGUAAUGUAAUAUUAUUGUAACAAUCCGAACAUUACUCUGCCUUUUUUGUCUUAAUGAGUUCUUCUUACUUGCUUGAAUUUUCUUGCAUAGCUCAACGUAAAAUCACAAUUAUGAAAGAUAAACAUGAAAAUAAUGACGAUAAUUAACAUAUUAACAUUUCAUCAUCGUUGACGUUAGGGCCGGCUCAAGGACAGGGGCCAGCAGUGCAUCCGCCCAGGGUCCACGUACAAAAGGGCCAAGACCAACGUACAAUAGGGGCCCAUAUAUUCCAAUCGUUGAAUAAUUAAAGGGCCUUGUCUAAACUGUUCCAACCGAGUUCCUCUUUAAAUUUUUAAUAUAAUUGUUUGUCGGCAAUGUCAAAGGAAAAACAUCAAAUUUAUGUUCAACAUAUUGGGCUUUAUGGACCAUUGCGGUAGACGAUAGUACAUCAUUUUUAUAAUUUUCUUGUGGAUUUGGGUUUUAUACACAUAUAAAAAUAAAUAAUGAAAAUUGAGUGAUUUAAUUUGGACCCGGAGGGCUCGGGUUAGUCACUUCUGAAGGUAUUAACCAUUCCAAUGUGGUUUUUGGAAUCGGUGUGGGUUGCGGUAUUGGGGUUGGGUUUGGGUACGGGUUUGGAGUUGGUGGCGGGUUCAAUUUCGAUGACAUUGGAGAUAAAUUGACCUAUGGGAAGGAAUAGCUCUGGUUAAGAUUCCGUGUCGGGUACAGAUUCGUAAUGUAAUAUUAUUGUAACAAUCCGAACAUUACUCUGCCUUUUUUGUCUUAAUGAGUUCUUCUUACUUGCU
rnacentral:lncRNA from 1 species